GUCCUGGCCGUAAACGCUGUGUGCUAGGUGUUGCGCCUGCUACAGGCAUGCGCAGUGUCGAAAUGAAGAUGUUAAGCACACCGCCUGGGAAGUACGGCCGCAAGACUGAAACUUUAAGGAAUUGGCGGGGGAGCACCACAAGGGGUGCGGCGUGCGGUUUAAUCUAACUCAACGCAGAACACCUUACUAGCGGCGCUGGCAGUAUGACGGUCAGUCUGAAGGGCUUACCCGACGAGCCCCGAGGUAGUGCAUGGCCGCCGU
rnacentral:rRNA from 1 species